AUAUAUAACGAUAAUAAACCCUCAAUGUAUCCCCUAGAUAUAUAACGAUAAUAAACCCUCAAUGUAUCCCCAGAUAUAUAACGAUAAUAAACCCUCAAUGUAUCCCCCAGGUAUAUAACGAUAAUAAACCCUCAAUGUAUCCCCAGAUAUAUAAUGAUAAAAAACCCUCAAUGUAUCCCCCAGAUAUAUAAUGAUAAUAAACCCUCAAUGUAUCCCCCAGAUAUAUAACGAUAAUAAACCCUCAAUGUAUCCCCCAGGUAUAUAACGAUAAUAAACCCUCAAUGUAUCCCCAGAUAUAUAACGAUAAUAAACCCUCAAUGUAUCCCCAGAUAUAUAACGAUAAUAAACCCUCAAUGUAUCCCCCAGAUAUAUAAUGAUAAAAACCCAAUGUAUCCCCAGAUAUAUAACGAUAAUAAACCCUCAAUGUAUCCCCCAGAUAUAUAAUGAUAAUAAACCCUCAAUGUAUCCCCAGAUAUAUAAUGAUAAAAAACCCUCAAUGUAUCCCCCAGAUAUAUAAUGAUAAAAAACCCUCAAUUUAUCCCCCAGAUAUAUAAUGA